GCGCCGUUAGUUUAUCGGUAGAAUGACUGCCUUCCACGAAGUAGAGAGGGGUUCAAUUCCCCUACGGCGCA
rnacentral:tRNA from 1 species